GACGAACGCUGGCGGCGUGCUUAACACAUGCAAGUCGAACGGAAAGGCCCUGCUUUUGUGGGGUGCUCGAGUGGCGAACGGGUGAGUAACACGUGAGUAACCUGCCCUUGACUUUGGGAUAACUUCAGGAAACUGCGGCUAAUACCGGAUAGGAGCUCCUGCUGCAUGGUGGGGGUUGGAAAGUUUCGGCGGUUGGGGAUGGACUCGCGGCUUAUCAGCUUGUUGGUGGAGUUGUUGCUUACCAGGGCUUUGAAGGGUAGCCGGCCUGAGAGGGUUAACGGCGACAAUGGGACUGAGAGACGGCGCAGACGCCUACCGGAGGCAGUAGGGGAGAAUAUUGCACAACGGGCGCGAGCGUGAUGUAGCAACGUCGCGUGCGGGAUGACGGCCUUCGGGUUGUAAACCGCUUUCGCCGGUGACGAAGCGUGAGUGACGGUAACUGGUCAAGAAGCACCGGCUAACUACGUG
rnacentral:rRNA from 1 species